ACUACCUUCUUCCACAGCCUGAAUGGAAAGAAAUAGGCUGCAAGGAGACACUUGUUAUGAAAAGUAAAUUCCAAUCAGAUGUUUAAAGAGGGAAGACUGCCAAAUAUGCUUUUAGAGGACUGAAAAUGUAAUGGAGUCCAACCCUUUUGCCCAGGCUUCUUGUUUUGAGGUGUAAGUUGCUACAAGUUAAAGAAUAUUUCUUGACAAUGGAGAAGAAGUAA